rnacentral:rRNA from 1 species
GACGAACGCUGGCGGCGUGCUUAACACAUGCAAGUCGAGCGAUGAAGCUCCUUCGGGAGUGGAUUAGCGGCGGACGGGUGAGUAACACGUGGGCAACCUGCCUUAUAGAGAGGAAUAGCCAUCCGAAAGGAGGAUUAAUACCUCAUAAUAUUGUAGCUUCGCAUGGAGCAACAAUCAAAGGAGCGAUCAACUAUAAGAUGGGGCCGCGGCGCAUUAGCUAGUUGGUGAGGUAACGGCUCACCAAGGCGACGAUGCGUAGCCGACCUGAGAGGGUGAUCGGCCACAUUGGGACUGAGACACGGCCCAGACUCCUACGGGAGGCAGCAGUGGGGAAUAUUGCACAAUGGGGGAAACCCUGAUGCAGCAACGCCGCGUGAGUGAUGACGGCCUUCGGGUUGUAAAGCUCUGUCUUCAGGGACGAUAAUGACGGUACCUGAGGAGGAAGCCACGGCUAACUACGUGCCAGCCGCCGCGGUAA